GAUGAACGCUGGCGGCGUGCCUAAUACAUGCAAGUCGAGCGAACAGACGAGGAGCUUGCUCCUCUGACGUUAGCGGCGGACGGGUGAGUAACACGUGGAUAACCUACCUAUAGGACUGGGAUAACUUCGGGAAACCGGAGCUAAUACCGGAUAACAUGUUGAACCGCAUGGUUCAACAGUGAAAGACGGUCUUGCUGUCACUUAUAGAUGGAUCCGCGCCGCAUUAGCUAGUUGGUAAGGUAACGGCUUACCAAGGCAACGAUGCGUAGCCGACCUGAGAGGGUGAUCGGCCACACUGGAACUGAGACACGGUCCAGACUCCUACGGGAGGCAGCAGUAGGGAAUCUUCCGCAAAGGGCGAAAGCCUGACGGAGCAACGCCGCGUGAGUGAAGAAGGUCUUCGGAUCGUAAAACUCUGUUAUUAGGGAAGAGCAAAUGUGUAAGUAACUAUGCACGUCUUGACGGUACCUAAUCAGAAAGCCACGGCUAACUACGUG
rnacentral:rRNA from 1 species